rnacentral:rRNA from 1 species
GUCCUACGGGGGGCAGCAGUGAGGAAUAUUGGUCAAUGGCCGAGAGGCUGAACCAGCCAAGUCGCGUGAGGGAUGACGGCCCUACGGGUUGUAAACCUCUUUUGUCGGGGAGCAAGACCCGCCUCGUGCAGGCGGAGCGAGAGUACCCGAAGAAAAAGCAUCGGCUAACUCCGUGCCAGCAGCCGCGGUAAUACGGAGGUGGCAAGCGUUGUCCGGAUUUAUUGGGCGUGAAGCGAGUGCAGGCGGUUCAAUAAGUCUGAUGUGAAAGCCUUCGGCUCAACCGGAGAAUUG